GGCGGAAUGGCAGACGCAGGGGACUUAAAAUCCCUUGGGGGUUAUCCCCCGUGCGGGUUCGAGUCCCGCC
rnacentral:tRNA from 1 species